rnacentral:tRNA from 1 species
GCCUGGCUAGCUCAGUUGGUAGAGCAUGAGACUCUUAACCUCAGGGUCGUGAGUUUGAGCUCCACAUUGGGCA